rnacentral:lncRNA from 1 species
CAAACAUCCACGCAGUGUUUCUGUCUUGCUCCUAUGUGGAUAUUUUUAUCCAGUGAUGUGAGUGCGUUGUUCUCUGCAUCUCUUUGAGUGACUGAAGGGACUAGGAUGCAAAUCUGCAGAAAUGAUAAAAUCUGCUUUAAUAAUUUAUUCUCACUGGAUGUGGUGUACACCUGUAAACCCAGCACUCGGCUGAGGCAGGAGGAUUGCUGAGAGUUCAAGCCUAGCCUGAACCACACUCCGAGACCUUAUCUAAAGCACAAAAACAAAUUCUAUUCUCUUUACCAACAACUGAUUCAAGAAUCAGGGGACCCAAUUUAGGACUUCACACAAAGACAAACUAGUUGAAGACUCUAGGAAAGGGCUUCCCAAAAAGGUAAGCUCUAGCCUUUAUUGUCCUCUGGGUGCUGAUGCAGCUUGAGAAUAUGGCAGACAUUGACUUACGAGGGGAGCCAGCUGCAUGAAGAUUCCCUAAAAGUCCAAUAUGCUCUGGCUGGAGUAAACCUUGCUGGAAAUCCCAUGCAUACAGCCAUUCUCAUGUUUCCCUGCAAAGAUGGGGAAGGGUCUAGGUCAUGGCCUCUAUCAUUAAUGUGCCUGUGACAAGGUCUGUAUUCUGAAAAAUGACUAGCCUCUGAGGCAUGAGGGGCUUAUCUCCUAGGUCUGAGGACAGUGCUAAGCCAAAGUUCCAGAACUCGUAUCUAGAAUAACAGAACGAGCACUGGACAAAAGCUGAGUAUGUGGCUAAUCCAACCUGCUCAUCCUUCACAACCUACUGA